rnacentral:rRNA from 1 species
UACGGGGGGAGCAAGCGUUGUUCGGAUUUACUGGGCGUAAAGGGCGCGUAGGCGGCCAGCGCAAGUCAGUUGUGAAAUCUCCGGGCUUAACUCGGAACGGUCAACUGAUACUGCGCGGCUAGAGUGCAGAAGGGGCAACUGGAAUUCUCGGUGUAGCGGUGAAAUGCGUAGAUAUCGAGAGGAACAGCCUGCGGCGAAGGCGGGUUGCUGGGCUGACACUGACGCUGAUGCGCGAAAGCCAGGGGAGCGAACGGGG